GAGACACCCUUCUGGGGAAAGACUUGUUUCAGUGGGGCUUUGGUGCUCACUGAGUCUGCCCCCUGAGUGUGUCCAU
rnacentral:pre_miRNA from 1 species